rnacentral:rRNA from 1 species
AGCAGCCGCGGGAACACCGGCGGCCCGAGUGGUGAUCGUGAUUAUGGGUCUAAAGGGUCCGUAGCCGGUUGGUCAGUCCUCCGGGAAAUCUGAUAGCUCAACUAUUAGGCUUUCGGGGGAUACUGCCAGACUUGGAACCGGGAGAGGUAAGAGGUACUACAGGGGUAGGAGUGAAAUCUUGUAAUCCCUGUGGGACCACCUGUGGCGAAGGCGUCUUACCAGAACGGGUUCGACGGUGAGGGACGAAAGCUGGGGGCACGAACCGGAUUAGAUACCCGGGUAGUCCCAGCCGUAAACGAUGCUCGCUAGGUGUCAGGCAUGGCGCGACCGUGUCUGGUGCCGCAGGGAAGCCGUGAAGCGAGCCACCUGGGAAGUACGGCCGCAAGGCUGAAACUUAAAGGAAUUGGCGGGGGAGCACAACAACGGGUGGAGCCCUGCGGUUUAAUUGGACUCAACGCCGGACAACUCACCGGGGGCGACAGCAAUAUGUAGGCCAAGCUGAAGACUUUGCCUGAAUCGCUGAGAAGAGGUGCAUGG